AGUGAACGCUGGCGGUAGGCCUAACACAUGCAAGUCGAACGGCAGCACAGUAAGAGCUUGCUCUUACGGGUGGCGAGUGGCGGACGGGUGAGGAAUACAUCGGAACCUACUUUUUCGUGGGGGAUAACGUAGGGAAACUUACGCUAAUACCUCAUACGACCUACGGGUGAAAGCAGGGGAUCUUCGGACCUUUCGCGAUUGAAUGAGCCGAUGCCGGAUUAGCUAGUUGGCGGGGUAAAGGCCCACCAAGGCGACGAUCCGUAGCUGUGCGGAGAGGAUGAUCAGCCACACUGGAACUGAGACACGGUCCAGACUACUACGGGAGGCAGCAGUGGGGAAUAUUAGACAAUGGGCGCAAGCCUGAUCCAGCCAUACCGCGUGGGUGAAGAAGGCCUUCGGGUUGUAAAGCCCUGUUGUUGGGAAAGAAAAGCAGCAGGUUAAUACCCCGCUGUUCUGACGGUACCCAAUGAAUAAGCACCGGCUAACUUCGUG
rnacentral:rRNA from 1 species